rnacentral:rRNA from 1 species
UACGGAGGGUGCGAGCGUUGUCCGGAAUCACUGGGCGUAAAGGGCGCGUAGGCGGCUUGAUCGGCGUGCGGUGGAAGCCCGGGGCUCAACCCCGGGUCGGCCGUGCGAACUGUCGAGCUGGAGCACUGUAGAGGCAGGUGGAAUUCCGGGUGUAGCGGUGGAAUGCGUAGAGAUCCGGAAGAACACCGGUGGCGAAGGCGGCCUGCUGGGCAGUGGCUGACGCUGAGGCGCGACAGCGUGGGGAGCAAACAGG